rnacentral:rRNA from 1 species
AUACGUAGGUGACAAGCGUUAUCCGGAUUUACUGGGUGUAAAGGGCGUGUAGGCGGUUUAGCAAGUCAGAAGUGAAAUUCCCGGGCUUGACUUGGGCGCUGCUUCUGAAACUGCAAGACUUGAGUGCAGGAGGGGAAAGUGGAAUUCCUAGUGUAGCGGUGAAAUGCGUAGAUAUUAGGAGGAACACCGGUGGCGAAGGCGACUUUCUGGACUGUAACUGACACUGAGGUACGAAAGUGUGGGGAGCAAACAGGAUUAGAUACCCUGGUAGUCCACACCGUAAACGAUGAUUACUAGGUGUGGGGGGACUGACCCCUUCCGUGCCGCAGUUAACACAAUAAGUAAUCCACCUGGGGAGUACGGCCGCAAGGUUGAAACUCAAAGGAAUUGACGGGG